AGGAAAAAGGCCACAAAAACGGGUGGGCUAUAGGCUUGGGGGGUGGGGCUGGCCCACUUCGUCCGCCGGACUCGGAAUGCCGUGAGACUUUGCGAGAGGCCUCUGUGUGCCAAAAAUAGGCUGCGAGCAAAGCUGCGCCCAAAAAUAACUGCCCGAAGGCCGGGGCGCCAAGUUCGUCCAGCGGAAAAAGGCCACAAAAACGGGUGGGCUAUAGCCUUGGGGGGUGGGGCUGGCCGACUUCGUCCGCCGGACUCGGAAUGCCGUGAGACUUUGCGAGGGGCCUCCGUGUGCCAAAAAUAGGCGGCGGACAAAGCCGCGUCCAAAAAUAACCGCCCGAAGGCCGGGGCGCCAUGUUCGUCCAGCGGAAAAAGGCCACAAAAAAGGGUGGGCUACAGCCUUGGGGGGUGGGGCUGGCCAACUUCGUCCGCCGGACUCGAAGUGGUGCGAGACUUUGCGAGGCCCCUCCGUGUGCCAAAAAUAGGCCGCGGGCACAGGCGCGCCCAAAAAUAACCGCCCGAAGGCCGGGGCGCCAAGUUCGUCCAGCGGAAAAAGGCCACAAAAACGGGUGGGCUAAAGCCGUGGGGGGUGGGGCCGGCCAACUUCGUCCGCCGGACUCGGAAUGGCGCGAGAUUUUUUGAGCGGCCUCCGUGUGCCAAAAAUAGGCCGCGGGGACAGCCGCGCCCAAAAAUAACAACCCGAAGGCCGGGGCGCCAAGUUCGUCCAGCGGAAAAAGGCCACAAAAACGGGUGGGCUAAAGCCUUGGGGGGUGGGGCC
rnacentral:lncRNA from 1 species